AAAUUGAAGAGUUUGAUCAUGGCUCAGAUUGAACGCUGGCGGCAGGCCUAACACAUGCAAGUCGAGCGGAAACGAGAAGUAGCUUGCUACUUCGGCGUCGAGCGGCGGACGGGUGAGUAAUGCCUGGGAAAUUGCCUUGAUGUGGGGGAUAACCAUUGGAAACGAUGGCUAAUACCGCAUAAUGCUUUUGUUUGUAAUGAACGG
rnacentral:rRNA from 1 species